CACGUAGGGGACGAGCGUUGUCCGGAUUCAUUGGGCGUAAAGCGCGCGUAGGCGGCUCGGAAAGUCGGUCGUGAAAUGCCGGGGCUCAACCCCGGGACUGCGUCCGAUACUUCCGGGCUGGAGGUAGGUAGGGGAGAUCGGAAUUCCUGGUGUAGCGGUGAAAUGCGCAGAUAUCAGGAGGAACACCGGUGGCGAAGGCGGAUCUCUGGGCCUUACCUGACGCUAAGGCGCGAAAGCUAGGGGAGCGAACAGG
rnacentral:rRNA from 1 species